rnacentral:rRNA from 1 species
UACGGAGGGUGCGAGCGUUGUCCGGAUUUACUGGGUUUAAAGGGUGCGCAGGCGGAUAUGUAAGUCAGUGGUGAAAUCUUCGGGCUCAACUCGAAGUCUGCACGAGAAACUAUCUGGCUUGAGUGUGGGAGAGGUGAGUGGAAUUCCUGGUGUAGCGGUGAAAUGCGUAGAUAUCAGGAGGAACACCUGUGGCGAAAGCGGCUCACUGGACCACAACUGACGCUGAGGCGCGAAAGCUAGGGGAGCAAACAGG